rnacentral:rRNA from 1 species
UACGUAGGCAGCAAGCGUUGUUCGGAGUUACUGGGCGUAAAGAGUGCGUAGGCGGUGUCGAAAGUUUGGCGUGAAAUCUCCCGGCUUAACUGGGAGGGUGCGCCGAAAACUGCGGUGCUGGAGUGUGGGAAAGGCAAGCGGAAUUCCUGGUGUAGCGGUGAAAUGCGUAGAGUAUCAGGAGGAACACCGGCGGUGUAGACGGCUUGCGUAGACCAUAACUGACGCUGAGGCACGAAAGCGUGGGUAGCAAACAGG